rnacentral:tRNA from 1 species
GCAAAGUCAGCUAACUAAAGCUAUUGGGCCCAUACCCCAAAAAUGAUGGUUUAACCCCCUCCUCUGCUA